UCCGGGUACUCCGGUUUCCUCCCACAUUCCAAAAACAUGCUAGGUUAAUUAGCGACUCCAAAUUGUCCAUAGGUAUGAAUGUGAGUGUGUAUGGUUGUUUGUCUAUAUGUGGCAACCAGUCCAGGGACAGCUGGGAUAGGCUCCAGCACCCUUGCGACCCUCGUGAGGAAAAAGCGGUAGAAAAUGAAUGAAUGAAUAAAUCCAAAUAAGCACUUGUAUUCCAAUAUCCACUUCUAUAACGUUGAUUCUUACUUCAUGUUAUUCCAAGGUGACCCCUAAAGGCUGCAUGUAUUUCAGCAAUGUGGAGCUAAUGGACUUAGUACAGGACUCAGUAAACCUAAAUCAUUUCACAGUGAAGCACCGAGGGAAGGGAAGGGAAGGGAAGGAUUGUGGUGGAUUAUAGUUAAUGAUGCCUAACUGCCGGACUCUUGUUAUUGUCUGUAGGUUUUCAAGAACACUUGAGUUGCUCGCUGCCAUGAAGAAGAAAUCUGUUUGAUCAUAAAUGCUGCAUUUUGUCUGAUAUAGAAAAAUUCAAUAGGAAUAUAAUGGCUCUCCAUUGCAAGGAUUUUUGAUCUAUUAUGGGAUUGUGUGACCUUGCAAUUGAACGUUGUGUUUUACAGUAUUCAUGAUGGUAUUGGUAAUGAUGGACAGUAUCGGUAUAUCGGUAAGAAAGCCAGUAUGGAUCAUAUCUAUCCAUGACCUUCUUCCAUGCACUGAGGUGUUCGAGGUUGGAUGACAUCGUCAACCAUCAGCACUUUUCUCUCUUUUUUUUUUUCUUCCAGAAAGUCAACUUUUUUUUCUUUUCAAGGUGCUGACAAAGAGUCAGACUGCUGCUGAAAAUCUCCCCCCCUUCUGCACCACUGACCCAAAUGAAAGCAGAGUGUCCAUUUCGGACCAGCGCUAUGAUUUCCUCUGCCAAUUCCACGACGCAGCCAGGUGUGGGGUCUGGCCGUUUACCUCUAUUUCCACACUUGACAUGUCCUCACAGUCGUUUUGCUCUGUUGUUGAUAUGUCCUUCCUGUGUGUGAUGCAUGAUUGCUGCACCACUCAAACCACUUUUUUUUUUUUUUUUUGCUGAAAGAAAAAGGUGAAGCAUUUGAGCCUUCAAUCAAAAACAGUCAGUCUCCUCCCGCAGGGCUGCAUGGACGACACGUAUUGGCGAUUUACUAUUGUGUUCCACUUCUACCUGACAAUUCUUAUACUUAUUCUCCAAAUAUUCCAAAAACAUGCUAGGUUAAUUAGCGACUCCAAAUUGUCCAUAGGUAUGAAUGUGAGUGUGAAUGGUUGUUUGUCUAUAUGUGCCCUGUGAUUGGCUGGCCACCAGUCCAGCAUGUACCCCGCCUCUCGCCCGAAGACAGCUGGGAUAGGCUCCAGCACCCCCGCGAUCCUUGUGAGGAAAAAGCGGUAGAAAAUGAAUGAAUGAAUGAAUGAAAUUCUCAAGUACGGUACUCAUCAACUUGUUAUGUUGCAGCACAAAUUCCGUCGUUCCUUAACGUCGUCAACAUCGCCGGCCUCCGAAAAGGGUGCCCAUGCGGGUCAAGACUUGGGUAAAGACUUCCUGUCAUACAUGGUCGCCUGUGAUGCCAUCUUCCACAUGACACGUAAGUCAAAAGCGGUGAUUUAUUUCCCUCUGCAGUGUUACAAACCAUUGUAAAAAAAAGCCUCAUGAUGCUUUGCUACUAGAGCAAACCCUUUUUUUUUUUUACCAAUUCCGAUGUAGGGCGGCACGGCGGUCUAGUGGUUAGUGCGCAGACCUCACAGCUAGGAGACCAGGGUUUAAUUCCACCCUCAGCCAGCUGGGAUAGCUCCAGCACUCCCCGCGACCCUCGUGAGGAAAAGUGGUAGAAAAUGAAUGAAUGAAUAAUUAUACCUUUGAACACCAUUAGAGCCCUCUAGACCUGAAAUAACACCCCUAUAGUCACAUUUGCAAUCCUAUCACCCAAUAUAAUAGUAAUAAGAGAAAAUAAGACAUAACUAGGCGGUCGAGUGGUUAGCACGCAGACCUCACAGCUAGGAGACCAGGGUUCAAUUCCACCCUCGGCCAUCUCUGUGUGCGUGGGUUUUCUCCGGGUACUCCGGUUUUCCUCCCACAUUCCAAAAACAUGCUAGGUUAAUUAGCGACUCCAAAUUGUCCAUAGGUAUGAAUGUGAGUGUGAAUGGUUGUUUGUCUAUAUGUGCCCUGUGAUUGGCUGGCGACCAGUCCAGGGUGUACCCCGCCUCUCGCCCAAAGACAGCUGGGAUAGGCUCCAGCACCCCCGCGACCCUUGUGAGGAAAAAGCGGUAGAAAAUGAAUGAAUGAAUGAAUUCCGAUGUAGGCAGCAGCUGUUCCCACUAUCUAAUGUCAUGUGAAAAGAGAAAAUGCAACAAUCUCAUUAUAUAUUUGACACACCCCUCUGCUACGGAACAACACUUCCCAUCAAAAAGGUUCGCACAAUAACCUUGGCACGCUACCAGUGUUGAUUCCUGGUAUCCUCAGGUAACACGAUGAAAGACCGGUUUAGACAAAAUUUCCCUCCUCCAUUUGGAAACCACAGAAGUAGCUUGUGCUUUUGGGACAGUUCAAAUCGAGACUAGUUCGUUGUAGAGACGCUAGUCUGGUUGCAAGGCACCAACUGCGGCCCCCCUCUUCCAGACUGACCCCUCGUUCUUUGUGGCGUACUGCUGGUUUUGCCAUCAUUAAGUCAUCAUUCUUUUUGAAAUAGCCUUCAAAUACACAUCAUUCAGUGAGGAAAGGGUCAGGAUUUGGGUUCGGAUUGGAUUCGGUUUGGGGUUGGGUUUAGCAUCGGGAUCAUUGUUAGGGUUAGGAUUCAAUUGAGGCUUGAAUUCAAUUGAGAAUUGAGGCUUGGAUUGGGUUUGGGGUUAGAAUUGGUUUGGGGUUUUGGGUCAGGAUUGAGGUUGGGGUCAGGGGUUGGAUGGGGGACUAGGUUUUGGAUUGAAUAAAUUGAGGAGGACCCUGUGCAUGUAUUAAAAUCAGGGGUGCUCCGAUCAAUCGGACACCGAUCGGUAUCGGUGGAUGUCAGUAAAAAACACCGAUCCCCGCCGCCGUUCAGCUCCGCCCCCCGUUGCAUCAUCCAGAAAAAAGCAUGUGGGACUUCCUGUCUACGUGAGAGUGAUUAAAACUUUGAUAUGAAUUUCACACCCUUCAAAACGUGCCUCAAAGAUGUCUGAGCGGCUUUGAAAAGCUUUACAUUGGUGCGGCAUUUAAAGCCAACACUUGGCAGGGUGUGGUGAGUUUGAGGCUCGCAAUGUGUGGGAGCAUGCAGACACCAUGUAGUACUUUUUUAGUGCAGAGGAACUUUCAAUGUGGGCGGAGCUCCGGAUCACAUGUGACGCAGUUGCUCAGUUCGGCUGUCCAAUGAAGUCGCACAGCUCACUUGGACCGUGACGAGUGAGCGUUCGCACGGAUUUCCGCAGUGGUGCCAAGCUGAUGGACGAGUGCCGGGAUUCUGUCUCCUCUGAGACAGCAGAGGUGGACAAACCUGCUUUUCAUUCAGGUUUUCAGUUCAUAAUGUGAGACGAUGAGAAAUACAUGUUAAAUACAAAAUAUUAGUUGUGAAAAUGCUAAAAUGUUACCAAAGUGAGUAUGAGUCAUUUUGCAAAAGUAGCUCUCAAGAAAAAACCUUGGUGAUCCUAAUAUAGCCAGCAGCCGUAGUACAGGAAUCAAACCCCCUGAAUGCAGCACUACACUGCCGAAUGCCGAAGAUGUCACUUCCAUGCUAACAUUGGAGACUUUGGAAGCACAGCUGUUUCCAUGUGACAAUGAGCCGGCAAUUAUUCCCGAGUCUUUUAAAUUUAAUAGAGCAAACCUGCGUUUGUGCAUUUCAGAGAAAUAACUGAUCUGUUCAUUUUAUGAACGUUAACUUCGUUUAUGGUGCUCAGAUAGCGUUGCAAAAAAAAGAGAAAAACUCUCCCAUGUUGUGCCUGAUUUAAAAAGGGUUAAAGAGUGGCGGACGAGUGGUUAGCGCAUAGGCCUAACAGCAAGGAGAUCCGAGUUUGAUUCCACCCUCGGCCCCCGUGCAUGCGUGGGUUUUCUCCGGGUACUCCGGCUUCCUACCACAUUCCAAAAACAUGCUAGGUUAAUUGGCGACUCCAAAUUGUCCAUAGGUAUGAAUGUGAGUGUGAAUGGUUGUUUGUCUAUAUGUGCCCUGUGAUUGGCUGGCCAUCGGUCCAGGGUGACCCUUGUGAGGACACUACAAAGUUCCUCUUUUGAUCAGGACAGUUAGACUCAUUGUUUGCUUAGACCAGGGGUGGGCAAACUACGGCCCGGGGGCCACAUGCGGCCCACCAAGCGUUUGAAUCCGGCCCGCCAGUUGCUUUCUAAGUAACUUCAACUUUUAACAUACAAACUGGCAACAUGACUUGCAAGUCGGAUGUCUGAUUUAAUAAAAAAAUAAACAACAAAACUGUAAAAUUAAAUGACAUAGUUUGAUGUGGUGUGAUGUUUAAAGUGCUCCUAAAAAAGGGACAUGAGAACAUACAACUGAUAUAGGAUAACACUUUUACAGAUAAAAUUAGACAAAUAAUUCAAGGAAAAUGAUAAGCAUAAAAUAGUGUGUGUGUGUUAAAUACGUAUAUGUUCUGGCCCCCCAGACAAUUUUGUUAACUCAAUGCGGCCCUCGAGUCCAAAUAUUUGCCCACCCCUGGCUUAGACCGUUGGUCGGCAAUGCAGCUCUUUAGCGCCGCCCUAGUGGCUACCUGUAGCUUUUUGAAAAAUGUUUGAAAAUGGAAAAAGAUGAGGGAGGGAAAUCUAUAUAUUUUUUAAAUAUGGUUUCUGUAGGAGGACAAACAUGACACAAACAUUCUUAACGUUUUCCAAUGCUGUAAAAAUGUGUAGAGUAAAUAUUGAAAUUCAACAUUUCUGUCAACGAAGAUUUACGUCAUAGCCUGCGACACACGUUUCUAUCAGCAGAGCGGGAUGCCAGGCAGGUGGAUGUUGUAAACAAACCGGCGGCUGUGUGAUGGGCCAUGGAUCCCAAAGGGAAAAAGAGAAAAAUAACUGAAGAGAACAGAGGAUUAAACGUUUUUGGACCGAAUCAUUUGCAUUCAUCUUACAUGCCCGAUGUUGAGAAGCUGACCAGAAGUCACAUUAAACGGGUGCAUUUAGCGACGAGGAUAUUGUCCAUUUCGGGUGGGGGUGGGUUUGUGGACCCCGUGAGGGACGGUGGCGAUCAUCCACGAGGAGCUGAGGCUGAAGGACGAGGAGACGAUUGAGGAGAAGACGGCUAUUAGAAGCUUCGACAAGAAACUCAAACCAGAAUAUGCUAUUACCAGACAAUUACGAAUGUGUGGACGCUCCCAACCCGGGAUAGCGCCGGCCAUCCCCUUCCGGGGACGGCGAUGGCCUGGAGAGCAUACUGCGAGACCCGAGUCAAGAGGAGGCGCACAAGAAACAGAGGAAGGAACUGAAGCUGCUCAGCUUCACUGACUUCAUUAUGGAAGUCAUGGAAUUCCAGGACUCUAAAAAGGAAAGCAGCAAGAACGCCAUCAAGGCAAAGGAGGAUGGGAACCGCAAUCGCCGAAGACGGUGACAUCACCUUCUUGAAAAUACGAGCUGACACGAGAGACCGUGCCAGUCGCAGGAUGAAAUCCCCUCGGCGGCGCAGCACGGGUUCACUAAACUCUUGACAGCUUUGCUAUUUAAGAUCAGGAUCAGCCCUCCACUCCAAAUUGCGAGGAGCGUAUUACUCUCCUGAUACUUCAUUAAUCUCCAUCACGGCUGCCAACACUGUCACAGCUGACAGCGGGGACAAUGCCACCUGCUCUU